ensembl:lncRNA
UUUGGAAGUGGGUUUAGGUUGGGUAAUGUAGGUUUGGGAGUGGGUUUAGGGUGGGUAAGUGUAGGUUUGGAAGUGGGUUUAGGUUGGGUAAGUGUAGGUUUGGGAGUGGGUUUAGGGUGAGUAAUGGUAGGGUUUGUGGGUGGGUUUAGGUUGGGUAAGUGUAGGUUUGGGAGUGGGUUUAGGGUGGGUAAGUGUAGGUUUGGAAGUGGGUUUAGGGUGUGUAAGUGUAGGUUUGGGAGUGGGUUUAGGGUGUGUAAGUGUAGGUUUGGGAGUGGAUUUAGGUUGGGUAAGUGUAGGUUUGGG